AGAGGGAUAUCUGGGUCAAAUUGGUGGUUCCAUUCCCAGUUUUACAAGGAAUUUCCAUACUGCUUUCCAUAUUGGCUGCACCAAUUUGCAGUCCCACCAGCAAU
rnacentral:pre_miRNA from 1 species